rnacentral:rRNA from 1 species
UGGGUAACCUGCCUCAAAGAGGGGAAUAGCCUCCCGAAAGGGAGAUUAAUACCGCAUAAUAUGUUUUAGUCGCAUGACUUAAACAUCAAAGGAUUUUCUUUUAGAAAUUCCACUUUGAGAUGGACCCCGCGGCGCAUUAGCUAGUUGGUGAGGUAACGGCUCACCAAGGCAACGAUGCGUAGCCGACCUGAGAGGGUGAUCGGCCACAUUGGAACUGAGACACGGUCCAGCUCCGUAGGAGG